GGAGGCGUGCGUGAGUGGCUUAAACGAGCGGAUUGCUAAUCCGCGGGGGUUAACAGCCCCACACAGGUUCGAAUCCUGUCGCCUCCGCCU
rnacentral:tRNA from 1 species